AUUACAGAUGAAGUCAGAGAGCGGUGAGUACUGUUUCUACACCUUCAAAUAAAGACUCUUAGAAACUGGAGAAAUAAUCUGCUACAGGAAGAAGUCUGACCCACAUGGAAACAGCAGCUUUAGCCUUUAGCUCAGAUUAACAUGAUUAAGAUUAAGAACUUUGAAGCUACAUGAAGUUUGGAGGUGUGUAGUGAUGAUUAACUCUGAAGCUACAUGAAGUUUGGAGGUGUGUAGUGAUGAAUUCUGAAGCUACAUGAAGUUUGGAGGUGUGUAGUGAUGAACUCUGAAGCUACAUGAAGUUUGGAGGUGUGUAGUGAUGAACUCUGAAGCUACAUGAAGUUUGGAGGUGUGUAGUGAUGAACUCUGCUGAAGCUACAUGAAGUUUGGAGGUGUGUAGUGAUGAACUCUGCUGAAGCUACAUGAAGUUUGGAGGUGUGUAGUGAUGAACUCUGAAGCUACAUGAAGUUUGGAGGUGUGUAGUGAUGAUCUAAUCUGAAGCUACAUGAAGUUUGGAGGUGUGUAGUGAUGAUCUAAUCUGAAGCUACAUGAAGUUUGGAGGUGUGUAGUGAUGAACUCUGAAGCUACAUGAAGUUUGGAGGUGUGUAGUGAUGAACUCUGAAGCUACAUGAAGUUUGGAGGUGUGUAGUGAUGAACUCUGAAGCUACAUGAAGUUUGGAGGUGUGUAGUGAUGAACUCUGCUGAAGCUACAUGAAGUUUGGAGGUGUGUAGUGAUGAACUCUGAAGCUACAUGAAGUUUGGAGGUGUGUAGUGAUGAACUAAUCUGAAGCUACAUGAAGUUUGGAGGUGUGUAGUGAUGAACUAAUCUGAAGCUACAUGAAGUUUGGAGGUGUGUAGUGAUGAACUAAUCUGAAGCUACAUGAAGUUUGAAGGUGUGUAGUGAUGAACUAAUCUGAA